AUUGAACGCUGGCGGCAGGCCUAACACAUGCAAGUCGAACGAGUGGCGGAAGGGUGAGCAAUGUCUGGGAAACUGCCUGAUGGAGGGGGACAACAACUGGAAACGGUUGCUAAUACCGUAUACCUUCAGCUGUGUCCAGAUGGGAUUAGCUUGUUGGUGGGGUAACGGCACACCAAGGCGACGAUCCCUAGCUGGUCUGAGAGGAUGAUCAGCCACACUGGAACUGAGACACGGUCCAGACUCCUACGGGAGGCAGCAGUGGGGAAUAUUGCACAAUGGGCGCAAGCCUGAUGCAGCCAUGCCGCGUGUAUGAAGAAGGCCUUCGGAUUGUAAAGUACUUUCAGCGGGGAGGCGUUACCCGCAGAAGAAGCACCGGCUAACUCCGUGCCAGCAGCCGCGGUAAUUC
rnacentral:rRNA from 1 species